rnacentral:sRNA from 1 species
AGCGCGGACAGCGGAGCCAAGAUGGCGGCCGAGUUGGAGUACGAGUCUGUGCUGUGUGUGAAGCCGGACGUCAGCGUCUACCGGAUUCCGCCCCGGGCCUCCAACCGCGGUUACAGGGCAUCUGACUGGAAAUUAGACCAGCCUGAUUGGACUGGUCGCCUCCGAAUCACUUCAAAAGGGAAGACUGCCUAUAUCAAACUCGAGGAUAAAGUUUCAGGUAAUCUUUGCAGGUGACCCUCUAACAUUAAGAAUAUUAAUUUGGUGUGCUUUUAUAAGUACCUUCAAUUUGGGGACUGGAAUGGAAAUACUAGUUGUUAAUUGGAAUUCUGGAUUUUGGCUUCCUUUACUCAAAAAAGUCUUUCUCUUAUCUGUCAGGGGAGCUCUUUGCUCAGGCACCAGUAGAACAAUAUCCUGGUAUUGCUGUGGAGACAGUGACAGAUUCCAGCCGCUACUUUGUAAUCCGGAUCCAGGAUGGUACUGGGCGCAGUGCUUUCAUUGGCAUUGGCUUCACAGAUCGGGGAGAUGCCUUCGACUUUAAUGUCUCCUUGCAGGAUCACUUCAAGUGGGUAAAGCAGGAAUCUGAGAUUUCCAAGGAAUCUCAAGAAAUGGAUGCUCGUCCUAAGUUGGAUCUGGGCUUCAAGGAAGGACAAACCAUCAAGUUGAGUAUCGGGAACAUUACAAACAAGAAAGGAGGUGCUUCCAAGCCCAGGACUGCAAGGGGUGGGGGCCUGAGCUUACUCCCACCCCCGCCAGGAGGCAAAGUCACUAUUCCCCCACCAUCCUCCUCAGUUGCCAUCAGCAAUCAUGUCACCCCACCACCCAUUCCGAAAUCUAACCAUGGAGGCAGUGAUGCAGAUAUCCUUUUAGAUUUGGAUUCUCCUGCUCCUGUCACGACACCAGCACCAACUCCAGUUUCUGCAAGCAAUGACUUGUGGGGAGACUUCAGCACUGCAUCCAGCUCUGUUCCAAACCAGGCACCACAGCCAUCCAACUGGGUCCAGUUCUGAAUGGCAUUGGCAGGACAUUAAGGACAGACUUGAGGAAUAAAAAUGACCUUGAGGGCACCAAUCUGUGAGGGAAGUUAGGAACCCAUUUCCUCCCCAGAAUCAAAAUGACUGGACAAUCUUUUUCGUAGCUUCUCCAUCACAUUCAAGCUGGUUUAUGUCACUCCCCUGUGUUGUUACUUGUACAGCCAAGAAAGUAUCUGUUAAUCUCCUGCUUAGUACCAAGGUAGGGGACUAGUGAAUCUUAUCAUAGUUUUGGCUGACUAUGCAGGGCUCAAAAGGCCAGCGUCUGUUUGAGGGGGAAUGACCUCUGACAUCUGUAAAAUUUGUCUCAUCUUUUAAAUUCUUUAACUUAUUUCAAAAUCAUCUCAUGACCCUCGUGUGCCUCUUUGUGAAGCCCUAUUUAGCAAUUUCAGGGGAGUCAAAAACCUUGCAACUUCCUUCUCCACUAACCCAGGACUAAAAAUGGACAGGCUGACCUUAGUGUUUACAAAUUCAGAAUUUUGAUAGGGGUAGAUAUGGAGAAAGACCUAUUUCCUGGGUCUCUGCUGUGUAGUCUCCUUCAGGCUUAUUGUACACAGUGAACAUCCAGUGCUGGGUGCAGCUCCAUCACCCUCUUGUGUGUUUACAUGUCUCUUUCUAUGAUAAGAGGGUUGUGUUGGUGGCACCUCCACUACUCUUUUCUGUUUGUUGAAUUUGAAUUGUGUAACAUCUUUGACCAGUGGGUGUUUCUGUAAUGAAGGAGGUUCAAGAGGCUGUGCUUUCCAAGUGAUAGUCUAUAGGAAUGUUUGAUUUCUUGCAGCUCCAUCUGGUUGCUGCAUUUGAAGCAUGGCAUUAAUUUGUAUUUGCCCUGUUGUUUGACCUUAAGUUGAAGGGUUUAGAGUUUUUAACCUGAUCUGUAGAGCAGAGAGGUUGAAAGCACUUAACUCUUGUUUAGUAUCCUCAUUGCCUUGCUGCCUGGGUAUCUGGCCCCUUUUCAUAAACAUUUCUUUUCAGUUCAUGUAGUUCUUUAAUAGAAAGCUGCUAUUAUGUAUAUUGUCAUUUGUGAAGGAAGUUGGAGAGUCACAGAUUUACUGUGACAGGUUUUGCCCAAGUCUGUGAUACCUGUCACCCAGGGUAUCUUAAAAGCAAGUUGUUCUCCCACUACUUUCCUUUCCCUCUGCCCUGCCAUUCCUUUUACAAUGCUGUGAAAAAAGUUCUGCUUCUUAGGUGAAUGGGUACUUUCUAUUUUGUUUCUAAAUGAGCAAUUUUGAGGAUGAAAUGGGAAGAUAUCAUUUCUUCCUUUUUGCACCUAUUAGGUAUGUACACUCUCUGGCUGAAGGGAGUCCUUAUGUUUAGUUUCAAAAUAUAUUACUUUCCUGGAUUCCCUUCUUAACGUUUUCUGACUUUGGGUCCAUUUUCUUUUCAUUGCCUCCUUUUCCAGGCAGCUCUAUUCUUGCAGAGCCAUGGCAGGACAUAUUAAAAUUCCAGUAGAAAACACUAAAAGGAAAGUCUGUAGAAUCACUAGUGACUAAAUACUGGGAACCUAUUUUCUCAAUCUUCCUCCAUGUUGUGUUCUUUGUAUUCUCAAGAUGAUAAUAUAUUAUGUAUUUGAAUUCCUGAAAAAUGGAAAAUGUUUAAGAUAUAUGUAUAUAAAGCAUAUGC